UACGUAGGGUGCAAGCGUUGUCCGGAAUUACUGGGCGUAAAGAGCUCGUAGGUGGUUUGUCGCGUUGUUCGUGAAAACCGGGGGCUUAACCCUCGGCGUGCGGGCGAUACGGGCAGACUUGAGUACUGCAGGGGAGACUGGAAUUCCUGGUGUAGCGGUGGAAUGCGCAGAUAUCAGGAGGAACACCGGUGGCGAAGGCGGGUCUCUGGGCAGUAACUGACGCUGAGGAGCGAAAGCAUGGGGAGCGAACAGG
rnacentral:rRNA from 1 species